GGCGUGAGCCACCUCGCUCAAGCACCCUUAGGUUUUAAAGUUUAACCUUGGGGUGUUUAAAUUUUGCAGUUAGAUUUGCUAGGUAGUCCUGGGUAUUUUGGGAAGUUCUUGUUUUGGCAGCAUGUCAGACUUUAUCCUUGAUGCUUGGGCCUUUCAGGUUUGAGCCUGCUCUGCUGGCUCGGAACUAGUUUAGUCGGAAGGGGCUGGCAGUUGCCUGUAGGGGGUAGAUUCAUCUGGUGUGUAUUAUGCUGAUGGGGU
rnacentral:lncRNA from 1 species